AAAGAAAAGAAAAAAGAAAGCUGGGGUUGACUUCUGCCUUAGGAUGCCAAAGGAGAGGAAGCAAACUUUCCUGGAAGCCUAUGAAGAGUUAACAAGAGGCCUUUGAGGAACAUCUCAGCUGAGUUCUGUGGUGCAAGUUGAUGUUUUUAUUUAGUUGACAUGACUACAACAUUUAUAAACAUCUUGGGAUAAUUUAAAAGCUGUAUUCAUGUGGUUAACUUGCUCUUCUGCUGCAUUCUGUUUGUACUAAGAUAUUUUUCUCAUUCAAGAGCACGUAAAGACUCAAAGGCUUGCAAGAAGAAGAAGGAGAAGGAGGAGGAGGAGGAGGAGGAGAAAAAAAUAGGCCUUUAAAAAAUCCAAGUAGCUGUAAGGGUACAACAGAAAACCGGUGUGUGUGAGGAUACAUUUUUGGUAAGGAAAGAUUUUGUAUGGUAAAAUAAUUCUUUGUCCUAGAGUAAAAUGAUUAGUUGGCUCCAAAAAGGACAAGGAAAGAUAAGGGCAAAAUCAGAAGGUUACAUUAAGUCACACAAAAUUUGUAGAGAAUGAAACAUAGGAGAAACAUUUUUAUGUGUGAUUAAGUUGGUUAUAAUUAUAGUAUGAGAGUUUUCUAAAAUCGAAUUUUGAUGUGCUGAUAUGAUACUAGAGUCUAAUCCUCUAUGUUUAACAUUUAUCUCCUUGUACAAAAUUAAGAAGAGCUGCCCUAGGAAACAAACUUUUGUGAUUUUUUUUUUCAGGAUAAUUUUUCAUGUUUUCUGCUGUUGCUAGUUUUUAAUUACAUGGGGGAAAAUCUGCCAUUUGAACAAUUUGGCCACCUACAACCUGAUCUGUGCCUUUUUGAUAUAAUUUUGAUUCUUCUCUGAAGUUUUUACAAUCAGAUUCAUGGGAAAGACUCUGAAGUACUACCGACAAAUUGGUUCUUUCCUUGAUUAUCUUUGGAUCGAACUCGGGUCCUUGCACAUGCGCAGAAGGCGGCGAAACCACUGAGCUAAAUCCCCAGCCCAGGAAUAUACUUUCUUCAAUAGGUGCUAUUCAAAUUUUAUAUUUCCUCCAGAGUUAGUUUCUUUAAUUUGUCUUCCAAGGUACUUCUUAGAAGUUGUCAAAUUUAUUUCAAAACAUUUUUGUAAUAUGCUUUCUAUAUCCUUUUAAAUUCUGUAAAAUGUGUG
rnacentral:lncRNA from 1 species